GUUUUAGAAAAACUGAAUAAAGUUGUGAUGGUGUCCAAACAGGAGAAGCUGCUGAGAGAGGAGAACCAGAGUUUGACUAACCAGCUUAUAAAGGUACCAUCUCUUAUGGAUAGUAAAACAUGCUCAUAUCUUCUUAGUAAUAUUUAAUAGGGAAUCAUCACCUAUAGAAGAAAAAAAGAAACGUAAAACAAAUUUCUUACAGAUGGGGAAGAUGAAGAAGUCUGUGGAAGCAGAGGAUGCAAGAGCAAUGUCACCGGAAAGUAGCUCUGACAACAAGCCACCGGAGACUCUCCUGCUUCUCAAGUAACCACCAUCACCAACGACUGAUUCGAAAAAUAAAAAUUGUAAAAAUUAUGAUUUGUAGUUCAUAAGGAAAGCUACAUACUGUAUGUUAAAAAUCCUCUUCUUCCCCCUGCUACGGAAAAGUCAUCCAAGGAGAUGCAUCAAAUAAAGUAAUUGAUUUUUAUUGUUACCUUCGGAGACAGGAUGAUAUAGUAUUUACUUUCG
rnacentral:lncRNA from 1 species